UACGUAGGGUGCAAGCGUUAAUCGGAAUUACUGGGCGUAAAGCGUGCGCAGGCGGUUUUGUAAGUCUGUCGUGAAAUCCCCGGGCUCAACCUGGGAAUUGCGAUGGAGACUGCAAGGCUAGAAUCUGGCAGAGGGGGGUAGAAUUCCACGUGUAGCAGUGAAAUGCGUAGAGAUGUGGAGGAACACCGAUGGCGAAGGCAGCCCCCUGGGUCAAGAUUGACGCUCGUGCACGGAAAAGCG
rnacentral:rRNA from 1 species